GCGAGGCCGGAAGCGCGCGGCGAUGGAGGCGCCCUCGGUGCCCGGCGCUUCGGCGUCGGGCGGGACGGGGCGCGGGCCCAUCAAGGGCAUCCUGAAGAAGGGCAGCAGCAGGCUGGCGGCCGAGGGAGCGGCUGCCGGGGCGCCGCGGGCCAGCCCGGCCUGCGACGAGGACGAGCACGAGCACGGUAAAAAAUGCCAGAAGUGGGAUGAAAUGAACAUCAUAGCUACAUACCACCCACCAGGCAAAGAUUAUGGCUUGAUGAAAAUAGAUGAGCCAAGUACUCCUUAUCACAGCAUGGUAGGAGAAGACGAUGAAGAUGCAGUGAGUGAUUCAGAAUUAAAUGAGCCCUUAAAAGCAGAUGUGUUGAGUAAAAAACUGGCAGAUGCAGCUGAAGGUAGAGGACCCAAGAUUAUAGCCAGGCAAGAUGAAAGCAGUGAGGAGGAGGAAGAGGAUGAAGAAUUAAGUCCUGAAGAGCGAGAGAAGAAGAAGCAGUUUGAAAUGAAGAGAAAAAUGCACUACAAUGAAGGACGAAACAUCAAACUGGCAAGGCAGCUCAUUGCAAAAGACCUGCAUGGUGAAGAAGAUGAGGAUGAAGAGAUGCAGGAUGCUGCAGAUGUAGAAACAAUGAAUACAGAAGGUACAGAACAUGGGGAAAGGAGGGCUCCAGUAGGCAACCUUACAACCUUUCUCCGUGGCUUGAAGCUGCCAUCUCUCUGCACUCUGCUGUAAAACAGAGGCAACUCCGCUCUCCAGCUGCAUUCUCCAGUGGAAAGAAGGCACACCUUUGCAGCAUUUUUCCAUCUCUGUUGUUGACGUCCAUUCCACCUUGCCUCAUAACAAGCUUCAGAGCCACAACUGACUGAGAUUUCUUGCUGAUUGAAAUGAAGAUGGCCAGUCCAGUUAGUGAUGCACAUGCCACUCGUGACCAGCUGGGACAUCGAGCACACAACAUAGAAGAAAUUUGUCCAGAGCUGUAACUGCUUGUCAAAGACACAAAUAUAAACAUCGCUUCAUUUUUGCAACUAAGGCUCUUAAAUAUUGAGAAGCAUAUCAGUUACAAUGUUGUAUUGCCAAGAAUGUUAAUUUUAGACUUGUCCAUUAGGCAGAAAAACCUGUCUAAUUGAUUUAUUCUUGUGCCUAGUAUUUCAUGGAGAAUACUGCUUCAUAAUCUGUUCAACCAGAGUGGCAUUCCCUGUAUGUAUAAUGCUGAUCAUCUUGCAUAAUGUACUGUUGCUCUUCAUGCUUCAAAACCAACAGUAUCUUUUUGGGUUUUCACUAUUUAUUUGACAGUGUUCUGGGUGUGGUAUCUCUUACUGAGAGGUUUGGGAUUCAAGAGGCAAACGGUACAGCAUAUAUCAGAUUGACAUGAAAGCUACUUAUCAGAUGUGUUAAACAGUUUAAAAAGGGAUUAUUUAAGUCUUGCAAGUUUGUUUGUAAAAUGUUGACCUGUUAAUCUAGAUUUCAGUACGUUAUUACCUGUACUUUUCCAGUCUUCACAAGAAGAGCUAUAUUAUUUUUUAAGAGUGGUGUUUGGAAUCAGUUGUUGGUUUCUGACAAGGCAGUUCUACCAUCUGGUGGAGGGAAUUUUUUUGACACUGGAAAUGUGCUAAUUUGAACUUUGCAUUUAGCAGACAUUGUCUCUUCCAUUGAGUCUGGAUGUUUUGUGGUGUUCUCUUUAGCUUAUUGUGAGAACAUGGAAGUUCCUUCCAACUUUUCUCUUGAAACCACAUCCCAUGUCACUCUUCUGGCUCUUGGUUAAAACUUUUCAUCCUUUCCAGUUGCACAAAGAGUGCUUGUGCUCCCAGCACCUGAGGAAGAACACCCAACCACGAGCAAAUCCGUGUCAGGACUGUGAAGAUGGCAGAGUUCAGACUGGCUGUUCUUUGUCUAAAGAUAACUGCUGAAGAUCUACUCAUUUGGGGUUGGUAACCUGCACACUGAAAACCACUGGUCUAAAUCUUCCUGUAUCCACUGCAACUUUCAGUAGCUGCUUUUUUUAAAAUGAAGGCUGUCUGGAAGAAUAGAAGGGAAGCUGCCUAAUUCAAACAAUUGUUUACAGUGUGGUUAAAUAGUCUCUGUAAAAAGGGAUUCUGAACCUCCAAAUUGCUGUAAACAAUGUUCCACUGGUGGAAUUUGACUGUUGAAUAUUCCAGUAGUUAAAGAAUUGUUCCUGGGUUUUAUUAAACAGUGAAGUAUACACUUAAGCAUCAGUUUGGUUACAGAAUACAGUGUAUAUCUUAAUUUUGAUCUGAAUUUGAUAUGUUGCAAAAAUCCAUAUAACUACAUGGAUCUAUUUUAAAAUGUCUUUUUGUCCACUGUACAUGUGAAGUUUGAAUAAAGGAAUGACAGUUAUUUUACAGUUAUGUGCAUUCUCAAGUGUGAGCUUUCAUGAAAUCCUGGAGAGAUUGAGAGUGAAUAAGGCAACAGGAUGCUGCCCUUUGAGGAUUUAUAUAGGAAUAAUUAAUUAGAAUGGAUGCAUUGCCAAAGAUAGCUGUGAGUUGUGCUAACUGGGUGUUGCAGUGUGCCUUUCCCAAUUAUCUCCCCUCCUUAGUAGGUGACAGGAUUAUCAGUUGUGGGAUAUUUAGUAUUCUAAGGGCCCAGAUCAGGAUUUCCAGCAUCUUUUAAUGAGAAAGAGUUGAACUCUUGAUUCAGUCCAGUGUGGUAAUGCUAGUUUUUCAAUAUGGAGAGUUCUUUUUCUUCUUGUAUCUAACAUGGUCACUUCUGUAGAAUAAACGGGGGCAAAGAGAAAGAAAGCAUUUAGAUACUUCUGACUCCUGAAGUCACUUACUGACUUUGGCUCCCAAGAGUAGGAUUUUGAAACUUAAAAAGUUUGCACCCUCAUAUACCAGCUGGCAGUGUUCAGGCUGCUGGAGUGUCUGCACCACCCUGUGUUCCAGGCUGCCCAGCUCAGCCCUGCCGUGGGAGCUGGGCCCUCAGCCAGGCUGUCUUACUUUCCAACUGGAGCAUGAAUGGGCCAAGAUUGGGCCAACCUGCAUGGGUAAUGCAGGUGUCUUCUGUGAUGUAUAAGAGUAGUUGUACUUGGUGAUAAGUAGAAGUGGGUACUUUGAACCUGCAAUUAAGGCAGAAUCCAUCAGAAGCAGCUCUUACAUGAGCUAAUGUCCUGCCUCCUUCCCCCUGCGCUUCCUGUGUCUGAGACAUCAUUUUCAUUUUGGUGCUCAGCAGGGAUACUUUUUGCCCUACAAUACCUGCAAAGCAUUUUUUUUUUAACAAACAAAACCCCCACUUUGAUUACCAGUAAAGACCUUUAUUGUAAUGGCUUCCAAAAUCCUGGAUGAAAUGGAUGUGCAGCUUUGAGGGGGUACAGUACAUGUAAAUGCAGGAAGAUGGUCUUAAAUGAACCUCAAUGUUUAGUAGGUCACUUCAUCAGUCAGAUGACUGAGUACUUGUCUGAGUGAUUUCCUUUCUUCUGUGCCACCAAGCCCCCAAGUUUUGGUGAGAAGCCAUUUUUGAACUUGCACUGGGUUUAGUUACAGGUUUUAGUAAAGGCUUAGUUCUCUUCAUUGCUUUCAGUGCUGGCAAAAAAGCUGUGCUUCAUCUGGCUCAGAGUGCAACCUGAUGUACUUGACACUGCUUUUAAGUGAGAGGCUGAUUUACUUUAUUUUAUCCAGGCUUACACCUUCAGAGCUAAAUAGACAAGAGAUACUCUAUACAAAAGGGAUGUCUGAUUUCCUUCUGUUGUGGAAAAAUCAAUACAGAUUCCUGCUGAAUGGGGACAAGAAAUGCCUGUUCUCUUUUUACAUUUAAUGGGAACUUGGCUUGCAUGCAGGUCUUAACCUUGGGAAACGUAUGGUCAAGGCUUAGUUGUAAAGUAAGGAGUGGUAUAAAGAGGAAACAAAAGACAGGCAGCCCUCACUGACAGGGACAUUGAGCUCCACAGCAUCAUCAUUGUGAAACUUCUUGCACAGGUUUAAGUCCUCCAGCUGCAAGGUCUUCAGAGAAAAUAUUUUAAUAUGCUUCCAGUAGGAAGAUUGCUUGCUAGUAAGAGCCUUAACUAUGACUUUUAAUUUUCUGUCCAUAAAGUUUCUUUCACACUGAGUUGUACACAGUUCAUGGAAACAGCAAAUAUUUUUUCCACAGUUCACUCACUGAUGUUAUACUUGUGUAUCUUACCAGACCUCUUUGUGUGCCAUGCUUUUUUGGUAUUUAUGAUGAUAGCACCUCACAAAUGUAAUUCUUCUGUUUGAAACUACUGUUAGUGUCACCAACAUAAAUAAAGUAAUUGUUUUCAUUACUGCCUUUUGGCACUGA